rnacentral:rRNA from 1 species
UACGUAGGGUGCGAGCGUUUAAUCGGAAUUACUGGGCGUAAAGCGUGCGCAGGCGGUUUUGUAAGCCGGAUGUGAAAUCCCCGGGCUUAACCUGGGAAUGGCAUUCGGGACUGCAAGGCUGGAGUGCGGCAGAGGAGACUGGAAUUCCUGGUGUAGCAGUGGAAAUGCGUAGAUAUCAGGAGGAACACCGAUGGCGAAGGCAGGUCUCUGGGCUGACACUGACGCUCAUGCACGAAAGCGUGGGGAGCAAACAGG